UGGGAAUAUUGGACAAUGGGCGCAAGCCUGAUCCAGCCAUGCCGCGUGAGUGAUGAAGGCCUUAGGGUUGUAAAGCUCUUUCGGCGGGGACGAUAAUGACGGUACCCGCAGAAGAAGCCCCGGCUAACUUCGUGCCAGCAGCCGCGGUAAUACGAAGGGGGCUAGCGUUGCUCGGAAUCACUGGGCGUAAAGGGCGCGUAGGCGGACAUUUAAGUCGGGGGUGAAAGCCCAGGGCUCAACCCUGGAAUUGCCUCCGAUACUGGGUGUCCCGAGACCGGAAGAGGUGAGUGGAACUGCGAGUGUAGAGGUGAAAUUCGUAGAUAUUCGCAAGAACACCAGUGGCGAAGGCGGCUCACUGGUCCGGUUCUGACGCUGAGGCGCGAAAGCGUGGGGAGCAAAACAGGAUUAGAUACCCUGGUAGUCCACGCCGUAAACGAUGGAUGCUAGCCGUUGGCAGGCUUGCCUGUCAGUGGCGCAGCUAACGCUUUAAGCAUCCCGCCUGGGGAGUACGGCCGCAGGGUUAAAACUCAAAUGAAUUGACGGGGUCAUAGCUGUUUCCU
rnacentral:rRNA from 1 species